rnacentral:antisense_RNA from 1 species
UUGACGGCCGCGCCGCCGCCCGCGGUGGUCUGGAAGACCUCGUCGCCCAGGUGGUCGCCGUCGGCGAGGUGGCCGUGCACGGCGUCGUCGCCGUACUUGCCCUGGCCGGUCAGGUCGACCUUGCCGUGGGCGAUCAGCCACAGGGUGUCCACCGGCGUCCCGGCCUCGGUCAGCGUCUGCCCGGCCCGGAGCUCGCGCACGGAAAAGCGCGAGGCCAGCUCGGCCAGCAACGCCUCGUCGGCGAAGUCGCGCAGCGGCGGCAGCUCGGUCAGGGUCGGCGCCAGCACGCGCACGUCGUCGUCCCCGGCCUGGCUGAACGCCACCCGGCCGCGCCCGACGGCGUGGCUCAGGCGGCGGUUGACCCGGUAGGCGCCGCCGGAGGCCUCGAUCCACGGCAGCACGCGCAGCAGCCAGCGGGAGGUGAUGCCCUGCAUCUGCGGCGGCGUCUUGGUGGUGGUGGCCAGGUUCCGCGCCGCCGCGGUGUCCAGGCUGAGCUGAUCGCCCUCGG